GUGUCGUAUGAUGGAGAGAAGUUCCGCCCUCCUGAUAAAGACAGAAGAAGCCCCUGGGUCCUUGGGUUUAAUAACACACAUACAAUUAAGGUAUUGCCAAGUGCUUUGUGGCAUCUAACCAUUGUUGUAG